UUUCCAAUAGAUUGUGAUCAAACUAGCUAUUUGCCUCAUCUUUUAAGAGCCAAACAAAAUGAACUUCAUUAAAGCUUUGCUAUUGUUUUUCAGCCCUUAAGUCACUCUCGUAAUUUUUUACUUGAAAAGUACUCAAAUACUUCUUAUCUGUACAACCUCCAGUAUAGCCAGUUUUCUAGGUCUUUUGAUUGCAAAGUGAAUGGAGGAAGAGUAUUGGAGAAAACCUGAGCAUCUGGAAAAGCCUGAUAAUGACCAACAGCAGGUGUAUUGCUGCUGCUAGGGCUCAGAGCAGGAUGGAGGAGAGUGACGCAGGUGUUGGGUUAAUCUUUUAACUCCUGCAGAGGACAUGAGAGCAGUACAGAAAAGGAAUUGGUGGCUGGACAUCAUUCACCCAUUACUAUAUGUCAUUCUUCAAUUCUUGCGAUGUAAUGGCAGAACAUCCAUUAAAGUUAGAGAUAUUUUUGCAGACAAAGACCAAAGGAAGAUCAUUUACAAUUCAGCUCUUAAUUUGUUCCUUCUAAUUAUGAGGGGGAAAAGGUCCUCACAAUUAUCCUACUUUCUUGAGUAACAAGGAAAAAGUGCCAACAGACCUCAACAUAUAUGGGGAACUCCUGCCUGUGUGUGUAAGUUAAAGGUUUAUAACAUGAUCCAAAGUCAAAUGGAACUACUUACUUAUGUUCAUUUCAAUCAAUUUGGAACCAAGACUUAACUCAAAAGAAUUCUAAAUAAUUAGGAUAACAUUAGCUGCUACUUCUUUUUCUGACAAUAAACAUCAUGACCAGUA